GCUCCGUAGGUGAACCAGCGGAGGGAUCAUUACCGAGUUAUCAACUCCCAAACCCCUGUGAACAUACCCAACGUUGCUUCGGCGGGACCGCCCCGGCGCCCUCGGCGUCCCGGAACCAGGCGCCCGCCGGAGGACCCAAACUCUUGUUUAAACCAUAGUGGCAUAUUCUGAGUCUCACAAGAAAAAUGAAUCAAAACUUUCAACAACGGAUCUCUUGGCUCUG
rnacentral:misc_RNA from 1 species